UACGUAGGGCGCAAGCGUUGUCCGGAAUUAUUGGGCGUAAAGAGCUCGUAGGCGGUUUGUCGCGUCUGUCGUGAAAGCUUGGGGCUUAACCCCAAGUCUGCGGUGGAUACGGGCAGACUAGAGGCAGGUAGGGGAGAACGGAAUUCCCGGUGUAGCGGUGAAAUGCGCAGAUAUCGGGAGGAACACCGGUGGCGAAGGCGGUUCUCUGGGCCUGUACUGACGCUGAGGAGUGAAAGCGUGGGGAGCGAACAGG
rnacentral:rRNA from 1 species